rnacentral:rRNA from 1 species
UUUACCUCGUACCUUUUGCAUCAUGAUUUAGCUAGUAAACCCUAAGCGAAAAGAAUUUUAGUUUAGUUUCCCGAAACUAAGUGAGCUACUCCAAGACAGCCUAUCAAUAGGGCGCACCCAUCUCUGUGGCAAAAGGGUGGGAAGAGCUUCGAGUAGAGGUGACAGACCUACCGAACUUAGUUAUAGCUGGUUGCCUGUGAAUUGGAUAGAAGUUCAGCCCUCUGCUUUCUUUAGUCAAAUCAAGUUAUACCCAACCGACCAAAAGAAUGCAAAGGAGUUAGUUGGAGGAGGUACAGCUCCUCUAACACAAGAUACAACUUUACCAGGAGGAUUAAGAUCAUAAUAAAUCAAGGCACCCGUGUUUUGGUGGGCCUAAAAGCAGCCACCCUAAUAGAAAGCGUUAAAGCUCAGACACGAAAUUCCCCACUAAUCCUGAUAACCCCUCUGAAUCCCCUAAUACUACCAGGCCGUCCUAUGCCCCCAUAGGACCGAUUAUGCUAAUAUGAGUAAUAAGAAAGAAAAGACUUUCUCCAAGCACAGGUGUACAUCGGAACGAACCCCCACCGAAAAUUAAAGGCCCCAACCAAAGAGGGUAUUGAAAACAUUUUAGACCCCAAGAAGAACACUCAACUACUUACCUUUAACCCCACACUGGCGUGCCCACUAAGGAAAAACUAAAAGAGAAAGAAGGAACUCGGCAAACACAAGCCUCGCCUGUUUACCAAAAACAUCGCCUCUUGCAUUCAAUAUAUAAGAGGUCCCGCCUGCCCUGUGACUCUAAGUUUAACGGCCGCGGUAUCUUAACCGUGCGAAGGUAGCGCAAUCACUUGUCUCUUAAAUGGGGACCCGUAUGAAUGGCAUAACGAGGGCUUAACUGUCUCCUUUCUCAAGUUAAUGAAAUUGACCUCCCCGUGCAGAGGCGGGGAUACAAACAUAAGACGAGAAGACCCUAUGGAGCUUUAGGCACUAAAACUGAUCACGUAAAAAACCUCUUAUAAAAGAAUAUAACUUUGUGAAACCAGUUUAAUUGCCUUUGGUUGGGGCGACCGCGGGGAAACAAAAAACCCCCAUGUGGACUGGGGCCACUACGGCCCUAGAAAUAAGAGCUCCCGCUCUAACUAACAGAACUUCUGACCUUACUGAUCCGGCCUUGGCCGAUCAACGAACCGAGUUACCCUAGGGAUAACAGCGCAAUCCCCUUAUAGAGCCCAUAUCGACAAGGGGGUUUACGACCUCGAUGUUGGAUCAGGAUAUCCUAAUGGUGCAGCC